rnacentral:rRNA from 1 species
AAAAGCUCGUAGUUGGAUCUCAGCUCCGGCCGGACGGUCCGCCUACCGGUGGUUACUGUCCGUCGCCGAGCGUUCAGGCGGUUAUUCUUGAUGAUCUUCACCGGUUGUCUCGGGUGACCGCCAAGUUUACUUUGAAAAAAUUAGAGUGCUCAAAGCAGGCGUGAUGCCUGAAUAAUUGUGCAUGGAAUAAUGGAAUAGGACCUCGGUUCUAUUUUGUUGGUUUUCGGAACACGAGGUAAUGAUUAAGAGGGACAGACGGGGGCAUUCGUAUUGCGACGCUAGAGGUGAAAUUCUUGGACCGUCGCAAGACGAACUACUGCGAAAGCAUUUGCCAAGAAUGUUUCCAUUAAUCAAGAACGAAAGUUAGAGGUUCGAAGGCGAUCAGAUACCGCCCUAGUUCUAACCAUAAACGAUGCCAGCCAGCGAUCCGGCUGUGUUCCUCAAAUGACACGCCGGGCAGCUUCCGGGAAACCAAAGCUUUUGGGUUCCGGGGGAAGUAUGGUUGCAAAGCUGAAACUUAAAGGAAUUGACGGAAGGGCACCACCAGGAUUGGGUCCUGCGGCUUAAUUUGACUCAACACGGGGAAACUUACCCGGCCCGGACACAGGAAGGAUUGACAGAUUAAGAGCUCUUUCUUGAUUCUGUGGGUAGUGGUGCAUGGCCGUUCUUAGUUGGUGGGGCGACUUGUCUGGUUAAUUCCGAUAACGAACGAGACUCUAGCCUACUAAAUAGACGUUCCCAUCCUCUUUCGUGGGACGUUCUUCUUAGAGGGACAAGCGGCGUUUAGCCGCACGAGACAGAGCAAUAACAGGUCUGAGAUGCCCUUAGAUGUCCGGGGCCGCACGCGCGACACAUUGAAGGAAUCAGCGUGUGCUUUCCCUGUCCGAAAGGACUGGGUAACCCGUUGAACCUCUUUCGUGCUGGGGAUUGGCGMMUGUAAUUCACGCCAUGAACGAGGAAUUCCCAGUAAGCACGAGUCAUCAGCUCGUGUUGAUUACGUCCCUGCCCUUUGUCCACACCGCCCGUCGCUACUACCGAUUGAGUGAUUUAGUGAGGUCUUCGGACUGGCGCUCGGAUUGGCCUUCGUGGUCGAGCCGGUGUGCCGGAAAGAUGACCAAACUUGAUCACUUAGAGGAAGUAAAAGUCGUAACAAGGUUUU